rfam:Schistosoma rodhaini strain Burundi genome assembly, scaffold: SROB_scaffold0009059
AUCCAGCUGACGAGUCCCAAAUAGGACUAAAUGUGCGUCCUAGAU